CAGGUGCGUAUAAUGGUUUGUGUAUCCUUAUAACUUUUGGCAUUAAUAUUUCUUUUAUUUCCUUCUAAUUUGCACGAGGAAUGGAGAAUUCAGAUGAAUUAGUAUUCAGGCACGUGAACAUUUCUUCCCCGGAAUUCAUUUUUUUAUUUUAACAGCACUAAAUGGAACAGGCGACGAAAUACUAUAAAGAUAUUGCUAGUCGCUGCAAAAUAAACACACACGGAUUCAAUUUAGAGGCAAUCGUUGCGCCGAUUUAGGAACAAUGUGCCCACACAACUACUUAAAACUGGGUAUGUCACGAUACUCAGUCGUGCAACAGAGCUCUCUGGGGAUGGUAAGGGGCGAUAUAAAUGGGUAAUCCAAUUAGGCGCACAUGCAUCACCUUUGGAGUUUCCCUCACCGUUCGCACUCUAAACUGAAGCUCGGCGUAAGUGCCUAUGGAGUACGGUUAGGAGUCUCCAUCAUUUCUCUGCCAAGGGCUCGAACGCGGAUGGGCAAAAUGGAACGGACUCACUCGGAGGAUGUGGGCGUUGUCUCGCCUGUGGCCGCUUCUUCGUUGUUGGCGUCCGGUCGUUGAUGGCUCGUCUCGUCGCCUUCAGGGUUGCGCCGACGCUUGGCUGGCGGCGUCGCGGAUAUGGCUGGUGUGCGCCGCUGAGCCGAAUCCUGGCCUUUGGUAUGUUUCGUGCGCUUCUCUGGUGCGGGAGCUGGUCUCUUUGUUGCCGGAGCCGUUAAUUUUUAUAUUUU